rnacentral:rRNA from 1 species
AUUGAACGCUGGCGGCAUGCCUAACACAUGCAAGUCGAACGGGAAUAGUGGGCAACCAUUAUUCUAGUGGCGGACGGGUGCGGAAUGCGUAGGAAUCUACCUUAAAGUGGGGGAUAACUCGGGGAACGUCGAGCUAAUACCGCAUACACUCUACGGAGUAAAGGGGCGGAAAGACUCUCGCUAUAAGAUGAGCUUACGUCGGAUUAGCUAGUUGGUAGGGUAAAGGACCGUACCAAGGCGAUGAUCCGUAGCUGGUCUGAGAGGAUGACCAGCCACACUGGGAC